GGAAAAGGGCCAGCCCCGUGUCCCGCGCGCCUGGCUCUGCUUUGCAGUUUGCCGGAGAGCAGAGAGGCAGUCGAGCAGGAGGCGCACAGUUCGGGUCGUGUCACCAUUCCUUCGCUUGCUGACCUGCCCAGAAGCAGGGGACGGCGGCAGCACAGUGAGGUGGGCCCUGUGACAGCGUGGAAGUCGUGAUUUGCCCUCUUCCACUACAGAUGGAGUGCAGUCUGGGCUGCAGGGAUCCAGGAGGCUAGUGAAGCACCCCUGGUGGGCUUAUGUGAAGAUACCAAUCUGUGUGCCAUCCGCGCCCAGAGAGUCGCCAUCAUGCCCAAAACCAUCCAAUUGGCCUGCCGGAUACGGGGAGAGAGAGCUUAAGUGAAGGCAGUUUUUGUGGCGUUGUGUAGUAAAUUCUGUAAAGUACUUUGGUUUAAUUUGUGACUUUUUUUGGGAAGAAAUUGUUUAUAAUAUGUUGCAUUUGUACAUAAGUCAUUCCAUCUUUCACUCAGGAUGAAUGUGAAAAGUGACUGUUACGGACCUCAGUGAUGUGAGUGCUGAUGUGAGUGCCGUUGCUCAGGAGAGGCAAGGUGCUAAGAUGCACAGGGGAUGGGGGAUACGUCUUGCUUCUCAUGAGGCAUUUUUCUGUAUGUUAAUGACCUGUUGGGUAGCUAUUAAGGUACUAGAAUUGAUAAACGUGUACAGGGUCCUUUUGCAAUAAAACUGGUGAUGACUUGACCCAAGUGUUUAACAAGUGGGGCUGGUACGUCUCACGGUACAUCACUGCGGUAGAAUGUGGGCGUUUGCAAGAGUGGAGGUACAGGUCUUAACCACAGUGUAACUUACAGUUUCCUUAAAAAAA